UACGUAGGGUGCAAGCGUUGUCCGGAUUUAUUGGGUUUAAAGGGUGCGUAGGCGGAUAAUUAAGUCUUGGGUGAAAGCCUACCGCUCAACGGUAGAACUGCCUGAGAAACUGGUUGUCUUGAGUAUAGUUGAGGUAGCUGGAAUUGGUGGUGUAGCGGUGAAAUGCAUAGAUACCACCAGGAACACCUAUUGCGAAGGCA
rnacentral:rRNA from 1 species